UUCUAUGAUGGUGAAAGUGGCAGUGGUUACUUGGCAUGGAGGCUCCAAACCAUACAGAGGAAUAGUGCUUCAUCACAGAGCAAAAGGCCAUCACAUCAGCUGACUGGUGGAGGGCCGUCAGCUAGGAGAGAUGCUUCACCCUGAGUGAAGAGCAAUGCAAGGAGGCCAUAUCCUUCAUGAAGUUUUCAUCUGAUGAGGACACUAUCAAGCAGAAGAUGAAGAUGACAUUUGAAUAUCGUCGAUGUAUGGUCUACGACAAAGAGAAAUCCUCAGAUGUCUUGACUGAAUUUCCACGCUUCAAAGAUGUCAAAGGCCUGAUUGAGCAAGACUUCAUCUUGCAGUUUGGAGAAGAUGUAGCUGCCAAGUCUUUGGAGAGGUGGCCUACAACAUUCAAGAAAAGGGUCAUCCAGCAGAGUAAGGCUCUGAGAUCUGAUCUAUUGUGCAGAAGCUACAUCAGAUGAAGAGGAAAUGGAUAAUGACAUUAUUGCCUCUGGAUGGGACAGUGAUCUGUCUUCAAUCAUUCUCCUCCUCCACCUGAUUCCUCCAACAGCCCAGGGGCAGAAGAGGCCAGGCAAGGUGUCUGCAUCCCAAGCUGAGAAGCACCUUGUCGUGUUCAAGAAGAGUGGGACAAGCAUCCAGGAACACAUUGAUGAACAGCACCACUCAACCCUAUCUACUUGCUGUUGGCAUGAAGAGGAGCGCAAUCCAUGAGUUCUUCAUCGUUCUGGACAAGCAGGUCAUACCAUGCGACUCAACCCCUUCUCUUGGAGCUUUUGAUGAACUUGUGAAGGCACACUUUGUAUUUGGGACUCUUUACAAUCAGAUGCUCCACAACAUGUACACCUUCAUACAGACAACUACAACUGUCUACAACAUCCAUUUGGGACAAGUCCAGGAGAGCCCACGUGUUGCUGAGAUUAGGGCUAGACUUCUGCAUUCUACAGGCUAGUUCAUGCAUACACUGACAUGUUUUGGAUAUUGUGAGAUUUUCUUUGACCCAUUUCACCCAUGUUUAUAUCACACUUUAUCAUCUUACUUGAUAUCAUGGGGGUUAUUUGUUUUGUUUGCCAGAUUGAUUUUGUGAGCACCAACAGUCUUGUGAGGCAUAUGUGAUUAAUACAUGGUUUAUAUCAGGGUAAAUCACUUUGCUUAAAAUGUGCUCAGGCAGGAUGCUGCCAGGUUUUUGGCACAUUCUCAGGCUUUAGGAAGCAUCUAAAUACAAAGCAUGCUGACCAAAUUGAACUUGAAGUUGAAACUGACAUUGUAGUCAGUGAUGUUGCAGAUGAUGCUCAGUUGCCAAUUAGUGAAGAAGCUGCCAGUACGUCUCAAGUUCUGCCCGUAUCCAACACAAGUACUCAUGAUUUGUGUGCAUCUGCUAUUGCACAGCUUCAGGUUGCUGGUGUAAGCCAGUCUACUUUAAAUGGUUUUGUAUCAUCCAUGGAAGACGUGGUACUGGAGGUACAGAGUCAAGCUAAAGCUGCAGCUUUAAAAUGUUUAUCAUUACAGGAUACUAGUAUGAAAGCUAAAAUUGAACAAAGUUUAAAAAAACUUGAAAACCCUUUCACCUCAUUGAAUUCUGAAACAAAACAAGUAUUUUCAACAAAAAUGGAAAACUGUUGAACCUGUCGAAAAAGUACUUGGUGUCAGAUUUGAAAAUAGAAGAAACAGAUGUACUGGAAGUUAUGAUCAGAUUGUUGUAAGAGACAAAUUUGCCUAUGUCCCAAUUCUAGAAACACUGCAGUCUAUUCUCAGAAAUCCAAACUUUGCAGAUAUGUUAACAUCUAGCCACAUUCCCAAAGAUGAUGUAUAUUUUGAUUUACAAGAUGGGUUGUAUAUAAAGAGACAUCCCCUUUUUUCUAAUGAAAAUUUUGCACUGCAAAUUCAAUUAUUUUAUGAUUUUUGAGACUGCGAAUCCACUGGGAUCCAAAAAGGUGAACAUAAAUUAGGGGCUGUAUAUUUUACAUUAAGAAAUUUCCCACCAAAAUUAAAUUUGUCUUUAGUCAAUAUACAUUUGUGUGCACUUUUUCAUGCACAAGACAUUAAAACCUAUGGGUUUGACACCAUACUUGAGCCAAUCGUCAGUGACCUGAAGGUGCUUGAAACUGAUGGAAUUACAGCUCCCAUGUUCAAAAGCCCUGUUCGUGGUAGCAUUGUGCAAGUAACAGGUGAUAAUCUUGGUAUACAUGGACUGUUUGGGUUUGUGGAAUCAUUCAGUGCUCGGAACUGCUGUCGUUUUUGUAUCAUAGAGAAAGGUGAUUUUCAAACUGUGUUCUGUGAAGAUGAAGAAAGUGUGAUAUUACGAACAAAAGA